GAAUUCAACUCCUACGGGAGGCAGCAGUGGGGAAUAUUGCACAAUGGGGGAAACCCUGAUGCAGCAACGCCGCGUGGGUGAAGAAGUAUUUCGGUAUGUAAAGCUCUAUCAGCAGGAAAGAAAAUGACGGUACCUGACUAAGAAGCCCCGGCUAACUACGUGCCAGCAGCCGCGGUAAUACGUAGGGGGCAAGCGUUAUCCGGAUUUACUGGGUGUAAAGGGAGCGUAGACGGUUUUGCAAGUCUGAAGUGAAAGCCCGGGGCUUAACCCCGGGACUGCUUUGGAAACUGUAGGACUAGAGUGCAGGAGAGGGAAGUGGAAUUCCUAGUGUAGCGGUGAAAUGCGUAGAUAGUAGGAGGAACACCAGUGGCGAAGGCGGCUUACUGGGCUGUAACUGACGUUGAGGCUCGAAAGCGUGGGGAGCGAACAGGAUUAGAUACCCUAGUAGUCCAGGCGUU
rnacentral:rRNA from 1 species